UACAGAGGUCUCAAGCGUUAUUCGGAUUCAUUGGGCGUAAAGGGUGCGUAGGCGGCGCGGUAAGUCGGGUGUGAAAUCUCGGGGCUUAACUCCGAAACUGCAUUCGAUACUGCCGUGCUUGAGGACUGGAGAGGAGACUGGAAUUUACGGUGUAGCGGUGAAAUGCGUAGAUAUCGUAAGGAAGACCAGUGGCGAAGGCGGGUCUCUGGACAGUUCCUGACGCUGAGGCACGAAGGCCAGGGGAGCAAACAGG
rnacentral:rRNA from 1 species